rnacentral:rRNA from 1 species
GACGAACGCUGGCGGCGUGCUUAACACAUGCAAGUCGAACGGAAAGGCCCUGCUUUUGUGGGGUGCUCGAGUGGCGAACGGGUGAGUAACACGUGAGUAACCUGCCCUUGACUUUGGGAUAACUUCAGGAAACUGGGGCUAAUACCGGAUAGGAGCUCCUGCUGCAUGGUGGGGGUUGGAAAGUUUCGGCGGUUGGGGAUGGACUCGCGGCUUAUCAGCUUGUUGGUGGGGUAGUGGCUUACCAAGGCUUUGACGGGUAGCCGGCCUGAGAGGGUGACCGGCCACAUGGGGACUGAGAUACGGACCAGAAUCCUACGGGAGGCAGCAGUGGGGAAUAUUGCACAAUGGGCGGAAGCCUGAUGCAGCAACGCCGCGUGCGGGAUGACGGCCUGCGGGUUGUAAACCGCUUUCGCCUGUGACGAAGCGUGAGUGACGGUAAUGGGUAAAGAAGCACCGGCUAACUACGUG